rnacentral:rRNA from 1 species
UCUAGCCCAAGACCAUGGAAGGGUACGGCUGUUCCCUGUGACACUUAUGAUCGACAGCGGUUCCAACCUUGUACUCGGAUUUCGAUUGGUGAUGGUAAUCAGGCUAAGUUUUCGUCUGACCGAUGGUUGGAUGGCACGACUCCUAAGGAUUGCUACCCAAAUCUGUUUCAUCUCUCGAGAGCCAAGAGCACGACCGUGGCCGAUGCUAUCACUAAUGGCAGUUGGAUGAGAGGGCUGCAGCAAAUCAACUCUGCUGAUCUUCUGGUCUCAUUCGUUGCCUUGUGGACGAGCAUUCAGGCCAUCCAGCUUUCCUCGGAGACGGAUACGAUCGCCUGGACGCCCACUGCAAACGGCGGUUACUCGGCAAAAUCUGCUUACAACACUCAAUUCUGCACCCAGAUUCCAAUGCCACCCUUGCAGCUGUGGAAGUUCAGAGUUGAGGCUAAGAUCAAAUUCUUUGUCUGGACGCUGCUGCAGAAUAGACUUUGGACAGUGGAUCGACUGCUUGUGAGAGGCUUGGAUCAUCAGGAUACUUGCUCUACUUGUGAUCAGGUGCUCGAGUCUGCCAACCACCUGAUCUUCGGUUGCCCCUUCGCCAAGCAGGUGUGGACUUCAUACCAACACACGAGAACACUGGCAAGCCAGGAGGCGCUGCGCUCAACCUGGUGGGAGGCGAUUUUGCCUCUCAGGAAAAAAAAGGAGAAGGCACUGACGGUGAGCCUCUGGAAUGAGCGAAAUAGAAGAGUUUUCAAAAACCAACAAAUGAACCAAGUGCAGCUGUGCUCGAAGAUAAACGAUGAGAUCAGCCUCUUUGAUGAGGCAUGGGAGAAAUAG